UACACUACCAAAUGUAAAAUAGGUAGUUAGUGGGAAGCAGCUGCAUAGCACAGGGAAAUCUGCUUGAUGCUUUGCGACCACCUAGAGGGGUGGGAUAAGGAGUGUAGGAGGGAGACCCAAGAGUGUGGGGAUAUGGGGAUAUACGUACGGCGUAUAGCUGAUUCACUUUGUUAUACAGCAGAGACUAACACAACAUUGUAAAGCAAUUAUACUCCAAUAAAGAUGUCAGAAAAAAAGAAAGAAAGAAAGAGGGAGGACUCUUUUAGAUUAAAAGCAUGUAAAGAGGGCUUCCCUGGUGGCGCAGUGGUUGAGAGUCCGCCUGCUGAUGCAGGGGACGCGGGUUUGUGCCCCGGUCCGGGAAGAUCCCACAUGCCGCGGAGCGGCUGGGCCCGUGAGCCAUGACCACUGAGCCUGCGCAUCCAGAGCCUGUGCUCCGCAACUUGAGAGGCCACAACAGUGAGAGGCCCAUGUACCGCAAAAUAAAUAAAUAAAUAAAUAAAAGCAUGUAAAGAGAUUGACGGGACCCAGGGCACACUACCCCAAAACAUGGAAAACCAUUUUCUCCUCUACAAGAUAUAACAAACAAAUGCAAUGCAUACAACUUUAUUGGAUCCCGUUUAGGAAAAAAACAAAUAGAAGAGAUAUUCUUGGGACAAUGGGGAAAAAUUGAAUAAGAACUGGGUAUUGAAUGACAUAAGUGAAUUAAUUAUUAAUUUACAUUGGGUAACAUCUUACGGAAAAACCCGAACGAACUUUUUGGCCAACCCAAUAUUUAAGAGGUAAGUGUUAUGAUACCUGCAAUUUAUUUUUAAAUGAUUCAGCGACAGUAUAAAAUAUGUAUAGAUAGUUCAUUGGUGAGUGAUGAAAUAAAUAUGGUAAAAUCAUAAAAAUUGUUUCAUCUGGGUGGAGAGUAUACAGAUAUUCAUUGUAAUUUUCUUAAAUUUGUCUCCAUGUAUGAAUAAGUUCAUAAUAAAAAGGUUAGAGAGAUAAAAAUCAAGUGUGUAAACUUCUGCUUAACCUCAGGUUUUUUUUAAGGACACCACAAAUUAUGUAAAUUAAAUAGAUGAACUUCAGUCAACUGUCCUACAAAUUCAAAUCAGUUUCAUUCAAAAAAGUAUAAAAUUGCUAAUCUGAGAAACAAGACACUGAUGGCAUUCAGACAACAGAACUUUUCUAAAAGGAUUGUUUUAAUGGUCAACCGUUAAAAAUCAACCCAAUGAAGUGAUGUAAGAAUUAUUUGCUGUAGUAGUAGUUAGAAGUGACAGCAUGAUCUACUUAGGAUAUAAAUGAUGGCUUAAUUUUUCUGAGAAACUACUGUUUCAAAGUGUUAAAUUGAAAUUUUAUAUCUGUACAUAUGUUACAUGAAUAUAUAAAAUGUAUAUGAAUAUUAACUAUUAAGCUUAUAAUAGAUAAAAUGGUAAAA